UGUCUUUUUCAGAUUGGGUUAAUUUGAAAGCCUUGUUUUCAAGGUCUGAAAUUUUUUCUUCUACUUGUGGAUUCUGUUGCUGAGACUUUUCAGUGCAUUUUGCAUUUCUGUGUGUCCUUCAUUUCCAGAAGUUGUUAUUGUCUUUUAUUUAUUCUAUCUAUUUCACAGAAGUUUUUUUCUUUUCCUAUCAUAUAUCAUUUUUUUUUAAAUUUCAUUACGUUGGACUUCACCUUUCUCUGGUGCUUCCUUAACUAGUUUAAUAGUUGACCUUCUGAAUUCUUUUUCUGGCAAUUCAGAGAUUUCUUCUUGGUUUGGACCCAUUGCUGAUGAGCUAGUGCGAUGUUUUGUGGGGUGUUAAUCUUGUUUUGUCAUAUUACCUGGAUUGUUUUUUUCUGGUUCCUUCUCCUUUGAGUAGACUAUGUCAGAGGGAAGAUCAGGGGCUCAAGGGCUGCUCUUCAGAUCUUUUGUCUCACGGGGAUGCUCCCUUAAUGUGGUGCUCUCCUCCUUCCCCUUGGGAUGUGGUUUCCUGAGAGCCGAACUGCAGUGGUUGUUAUUUCUCUUCUGGAUCUAACCACCCAGCAGAGCUGCUGGGCUCCAGGCUGCUACUGGAGAGUGUCUGCACAAUGUCCUGUGAUGUGAACCAUCUUUAGGUCUCUCAGGCAUGGAUACCAGCCACCUACGGUGGAGGUGGCAGGGGAGUGAAGUGAAGUCUGUGAGAGUUCUUGGUUGUGGUUUUGUUUAUUGUGCGUUUUAUGUUGGUUGGCCUCCAGCCGGGAGGUGGCACUUGCAAGAGAGCAUCAGCUCUGGUAGUAUAGGAAGGAUCAGGCGGUGGGUGGGGCCAAAGAGCUCCCAGGAUAUUAUGUCUUUUGUCGUCAGCUACCAGGGUAGGUAGAGAAAGACCAUCAGGUUGGGGAAAGGUUAGGUCUAUCUGAGCUCAGACUUUCCUUGGGUGGGGCUUGCUGUGGCUGCUGUUGGGUAUGUGGGUGUGGUUCUCAGGCCAAUGGAGUUAUGUUUCCAGAGAUAUUAUGGCUGCCUCUGCUGUCAUGCAGGUCUCCAGGGAAGUGGGAGAGAACCAGCAGUUUUAGGCCUUACCCAGCUCCCACGCAGCCCAAAAGGCCAGUCUCACUCCUACUGUGCCCUCUCAAUAGCACUGAGUUUAUUUCCAGUCAGCAAGUGAACAGGGCUGAGAACUUGCCCCAGGCUACCAGCCUCCCAGCUGAGAAAGCAAGCAGGGCUUCCAUGUUUUGUGCUUCCCCACCUGCCGCAGCUUCUGUGCUGUGUCUGCACUCCCUAUUCACCCUCCUAUGCCAAGUUCUGUCCAGGAAACUUUGUGUUUGGUCAAAAUAGUUACAGAGUUCAGCGGGAAGUUUCCUUCUCCCUGUGGGCUUUUCCCAGUUCCUCUGGCAGCCCUCCCCAAGGACUCCUGUGAGACCAAGCAGAAAUGGCUUCCCUGGGGACCAAGCGUGCCCACAGGGCUCUUCCUGCUGCCUCUUCUACACCUGUAUUUCACUUGGCUGUCUAAAUUUGUCUCAGCUCCAGGUAAGGUCACAUCCUUCUUCUGUGAUCUGGACCUUCAGGUUCCCCAUUGAGGGUGUGUGUUUGGGGGCAGAUGAUCCUUCUUUCACACUUUGGGCACUCACAGUGUUUUGGCUGUCUCCAGGCGUCUGCAGCAGCAAUCUGCUUCCUUCAAAGGAUCCGUGGAUCCUCUGGGCUUUCCUGGUAUGUUCCUGUGGUAGUUCUUGGAGCAAAAAUUCAUUAUGUGAAUCUCCACAUGCUGCUCUGUCUGAGUGGGAGCUGCAGGUUAGUCCUGCCUCCUAUCCACCAUUUCUUUUUCUAGUGUCCUGGCUAGUAACUUCUGAGUGGAAUGAGGCAUCAUUUACAUGUCUCUUCAACCUGAGGAGUAGACUCCUUCUGACCUUGCAGCUUCUUUUCUGAGCUCUUGCAUUGAGACGGUGGCACCUGUGUACUGAGGCACUGUAAGGAGAACAGCUGCCUGCUGACUUGCUCAGCCUACAGAGUACUUGGUGCCCAUUUUGACUUCCUGAACCUAAGUCUUGAACUAGCAUAGCCUUUUCUAAUUAAUAGUACAUACAAUAAAAAUGAUUGCUUUUUGGCUGUAGUUAGCUAAAAUUUCGUUAGUUAAGUAUUUUCGUUCUAAUACACAUUUUAAAUUUUCUCUUAUUAUACAUUCCAUGUAGAUUAAGGGCAUAAAUCCAAGUAAAAUAACAAGUGGACCCAUGGUGUUGAUUCAGCAUGAUUAAGUUCUAUAUAGAAUCUUGAGACAAAUUUAGAGGCCCAAUUUCAGAUACAUAAUUUCUGUGCAGUUUGUAUACCAAUUAGCAAGAAGAUGAUUGAUGGUUGCGAGUCCUGUGAAACAGUAGUAGUUAGGUGGUAUAUGUCCUAGCGGUAUAUAGUUUAAGAAGGAAAAUUUUAUCCUAAGACUUAGCCCACUUGUAUCAUCACUCUAUACGUCAUUUAUUUUGGGACUGUUCUUGCCCUAAGAUGACAAUUUGAAAAAUUAUUUGUCAUUUCUUUAAUUGGUAUUUGUAUUUAUGUCACACAAAGGGCUUGAAUUUUGUGUGUCCAUCAGUGGCAUGUUAAGCCCACUUUAGCCCAUAUGUGUUACUCAAUGUUGUAAAACGUGCAUUUUCUACUAAACAGUAUCUAUUUUGAGAGUUUGUCGGAGAAACUGAUGCAGAACCAAGAUGCCAGUUUUGUGUUUUUAUUUCCUACAUUGCUUCACUUAUAACAAUAAUACAUGAUCCUCCAAAUUUGCCUGAUGUUUUUCAAACUGCAUUUUCUAAAAGCAGAUCUCUUCUGCGGGCUUUUUUUUGUUUUUUAAACUAUGUAUCUGUGAAUACUUUUAGCUACAUGUUAUAAAUAACAAAAACAAUUAAAAAAAGAAUUGUUGCUAGUGACAACUCUAACGUCAAGGAAAUUUUGUUUAGAUUGGGAAAAUAAAACAGGUGUUUCAGUCCUACAUCAAGUAAUUUUAUUACUCUUAGUCUUGACAGACAUAUUGAUUCUUCAUGAAAAAUAUAAAUUCUUACCAUUACUUUAGAAGACUUUUUCAAUAUGCUAUUAAAAUGUUCAUAAAAAAUUGACUAUGAGUAUCAGAACACCAAAAAGUCAUACUUCAGAUGUAAUGUAUAUAUCAGUUAUUAGUCAGCUAAAGUUAAAACUCAUUUUUGAAAUUUUUAAGGGAAAAGAAAAGUAGAUUUUAAAUCUCAAGUGUUUCUCAAGUGUUUUGUGGAAAUUUUAAGACAAGGUACUUAUCUAUGACCGAUGAUCCAGUAGACCAGGGGUCUGUUUAUUAGACCACAGCCAUGUCCAUCCACUUACAUGUUACCUAUGGUUGCUUUCCUGCUAUUCAGUAGUCCUUUCUUACCCUUGGGGGAUAAAUCCCAAGACCUCUAAUGGACGCCUGAAAUUGCAGAUACUGAAACCUAUGUAUAUUACAUUUUUCCUAUACAAACAUACCAAUGAUAAAUUUUAAUUUAUAAAUUAGGCACAGUAAGAGAUUAACAAUAAUAAUAAAAUAGAACAAUUAUAACAAUAUGCCAGCAUCAUUACUGUGGCACUUUGGGACCUUUAUUAAGUAAGCACUGUGAUAACUGAUGGUCAAUCUGAUAAUCCAGAGGGCUACUAAGGAACUAAUGGGAAGUGUUCAUAGUAUGGAUGAUUCACAUCCUGGGUUGGAUGGCGUAGGAUUUCAACACACUAUUCAAAUGGGGCACAACUUAAAACUUAUACAUUGUUUAUUUCUAGAACUUUCUAUUUAAUAUUUUCAGACUGUAUUAAACCAUGCUUUACCACGGGUAACUGAACCUACAGAAAGUGGAACCAUGGAUAAGCAGAGGAACAACUAUAUCUUGAAGAUUGAGCCAUUAUCCAUCGAAAUUGGUUUGACAAACUUUUAAAAAGGAUAACGACCUUUUUCCAUCUAUUUAUUUAUGUGUCUUCCAGAAUAUGUAAUAAAUAAUAAAAUGGACCUUUCACGCUACAUGUAUAACUCCUAUAGUUGUAUGUUUGCCUUGGGUGUAUUUUCCCUCAAGAUUAUCAACUGUGUGUUUGACAAGUGAAUAUUAAGUAAAUCUGUGACCUUUUUUUUUUUUUAAAGUUGAGCUCAGAAAGAAGCAGAUCCUGGCAAAAUCAGUUUUAAUGAAGAGAAGAUGGAGGAAAAAGCAGUGCCUGAGCGGGCACCGAAGGCACUCGAGGGCCCUGUGCUCUUUGGCAAGUAUUGGCAUUCACGGGAAGAAAGGAGGGUUAGAUGAGAGUAUACAUAAGAAAGUUGCCUGUUAACACAUAAAGUAUCAAAAUCAGAUGGAAACUGCAGUCAUCUCUUGGUUUCCUUGGUGCACUGGUUCCAGGACUCCAGCAAAUGCCAAAACCUGUGGAUGCUCAAGUCUCAUAUAAAAGGGGAGAGAUGGUCAAUGAGAUGUAAGUGAAAUCACUAAAGAGGACUUCCCUUCCUGAAUAAAAUGACAAUACCUCAGUACAAGAAAUGUCUUUUUCCCUUGUCCCUCCACUCCCGACCUCUUGCUACUAUCUUCGGAGACAUGAAACUUAGAAGUGGAGCAGCCACCACUGUCCAUGGGAUGACAAGUGUGAGGACAAAAGCCAGUGUAACAAAGAAGGGCAGAAUGGACAGGUGAGAGCAGCCUGGGUCCCUCUUUUAUGGCAACUCUGAGCAGUUGCUAUGCUGACGGGGGACUGCCUAUGUUUGCACUUGCUAUGAGGGGAAAAGCAACUGUUGAUCAGGCUUCCUACUGUUCUCAGAUAAAUUUUAUUCCUAACUGAUCCAUCACUGAGAAGUUACUAUAUUGGCAUAUAGACCAUAAAUAUAUUUAUAAUGUUGACUUUAGACAUUAUCCUUUCUAAAGAAGCCCUGUGGGCUUUAGACAAAGCUAAGACUUUAGAAGUUUAAGCUUCUUUGUUGUUAUUUCUAAAAAGCAUGUAUUAAGUGCCUAAAUUGUCAAUACCAGGCAAUCUGCCAAGUGUUCAUGCCCUAACAACAUUUCCUGAGCCAAAGGCACAGUUUGACAUAACACCUGAUUAUGGGGUGAAUAUUUUCAACAGAAUUGUGCUAGAAAAUCCAGGCUGUCUGUUGUUCUACUUGACGCAGGCUGUGAUUUCUUCAGGGUAGGCACCAGGUCAGAGCAAAUACAUCACUAGAAACAAUAAAUGAAAUAGCAACAGACAACAAGGUGUUUGCAUUAUGACAGGCCAAAUUUGAUCUAAAGGGUAAACAACAAACAAAGGUAUCUAAUUGGAAAAAGAACUGAGAAAGGGUAAGAGUUUCACAUUUUGAAAAGAAGAUUGGUAAUUUGUUAUUUGAUGGUGAGGAUAUUCAGGAAUGUUGCUAUUCUGUGGUUCACAGCAGGAGAAUUUCAUGGAAGAGGAUUUCCAUGAGCUCACAGGCUGUUUAAAGAACUGGAGAGAACUGAAUUGGCAAAUGGGGGAAAAUAUUAGCUUGGUGCAAAAGUAAUUGCAGUUUUUGCCUUUACUUGCAAUAUGUUAUAGGCACGUGAUUCUGCCUUGGAAGGUCAUAAAGAAAAAGGUUGGCCUUCCCUGGAGCAAAACAUAGAAAUAUGUCCCCUGGGGCCGUGUCAUAUGCCAGUCCUGUAAGCAGCAUGGGGGACAGUGAUGGUCUACUUAGGUAAGGCAAAAGUGAUUGACUGAGAAGUAGAAGGAAGUAAAUCUCAUUAAAUGUUGAAUUUCAUUGGGGUCUGUUUCUGACACACUUCUUACUUUUAUGCCUUUAACUAUGUGCUGGAUAACUUUCAGAUUUUUAUUUCUAAACUGUCUUAGUCUGUUUAUGUUGCUGUAGAGGAAUAUCUGAGACUGGGUCAUUUAUAAAGGAAAGAGCUUUACUUGGCUUGUGGUUCUUCAGGCUGUACAAGAAGCAUAGUACCUGCAUCUACUUCUGGUAAGGGCUUCAGGCUGCUUCCAACCAAGGCAGAAGGUGAAGGGGAGCUUCUGUGUGCAGAGAUAACAUGGUGAAAAAGGAAGCGAGAGAGAGAGUGGGGAGGUGCCAGACUCUUUUUAACAACCAGCUCUGGCAGGAACUAAUAGAGCUAGCACUAGAACUCACUCAUUACUGUGAGGACAGGCUGCAAGACAUUAUUGAGGGAUCUGCCCAUGACCCAAACACCUCCCAUUAAUGGCCUCUCCUCCAACAUUGGGGAUCAAAUUUCAACAUGAAGUUUGGAGAAGUCAAAUAUCCAAACCAUAGCACAAACCUAAUCUUCCAAAUUUUCCAGCGUUCUCUCCCUGGAUUUUUGCAGUUACUUCUAAUUCACCAUAUCUGCAAAUAAACUCAUUAAAGUGUCUUUUCUUCCUGUACAUUAUGUUUCUCAUUCUGUAUUUUUGACAACUAUUUAUUGAGUGCCUACACUGUGCCACUCAGUGUGCUAGGGCUGGGGAUACAAGGGUGAGCAAGACCAGACACAGUUCUACCCCACCGUGUUUUUGGUCUAGAGGAGUAGACUGCUGCUAAACAAGUAAGCACACAAAUAUUAACGUAUUUUGAUGUGUGAUAAUGAAGGAACAGACUUGAGCUGAGAGUCAACAGGGAAACUUCAUGUUUUAAUUUGGCAGACUUUUUAUCUACCUAGUCACCCAUACUAGAAAACUGGGUGUCAUCCUUUCCUUUCUCUCUCUCUUAGCAGUCACAUAAAACCAACCACCACAUAUUGCCUAAUUGACCUCCUAAAUAUUUUUCAAACCUAUCUUCCCUUUCCUUUCCUCAUUAUCUUAGUUGAGACUGUCACCAUCUUCUAUAUGGACCAUGCAUUACUCUUCGAUGCCAAGCCUCAUAUACUUUCCCCUCUUUCCUUUACUCCAACCUCCAUCCUUUUCCAUACUGCUUCCAGGCAGCUUUAUCCAAAAGUCAUGUCUCAAUUUUUUUUUUUUGAAAUGGAGUCUCACUCUUCAACUCUUCGUCACCUAGGCUGGAGUGCAGUGGUGCGAUCUCGGCUUACUGCAACUUCUGCCUACCGGGUUCAAGCGAUCGUCCCACCUCAGCCUCCCCAGUAGCUGGGAUUAUAAGCGUGUGCCACCAUGUCCAGCUAAUUUCUGUAUUCUUAGUAGAGACAGGGUUGGCCAGGCUGGCCUUGAACUCCUGACCUCAAGUCAUCCACCUACCUCGGCCUCCCAAAAUGCUGGGAUUACAGGCAUGAGCCACCGCUUCUGGCCAUGUCUCAAAUUUUUAUAUCCAAACUAUCUUAGUGCAUUUGCAUUGCCAUAAGGGAAUAUCUGAGACUGGGUAAUUUAAUAAGGAAAAGAACCAUUUCACUUUCCUGGCUAAAGCUUUUCUAGUGAUUUAGUGUUUUAUGUUGUAAAGUUACUCUAGAUUUUUAGCUUAGUUGUCGUUUUCUUCUUCCUCUUGAACUUUACAUUUGAGCAACAUCAACCUAUUCAUAGUUUCUUGAGCACGCUAUGGCAUUUCAUGAUUCUGAGCCUUUGAUCAUUCUGUACGGUCCCUGUAGAUCCACUUUCUUCUUUCAUCUUUGUUUAACUCCCACUUUACUUCUGUCUCACAUGCCUUUUCUGUGCUCAUAGUGGUUCUUAUUUACCCCAUUAUAGCACUCAGCACAUGUGGAGGAAAAGUUAAAUAUUAAAUUUGAACUCAAUUGAACGUGGACACAAAUAGUAGUCACCAAGUCCUGGAACAGGUUGUGUGAGCCCCUUGAGGCAUUCAUUCAGCACUGUUUCAGAGAAAUCUCUAUUUCAAUCUAUUCCUAUAUGUUAGUUAUCGAAAAACAACAAACAAUCGCAAAAACAAGUUGACCUUUUUGUGCUCCUUGAGCCAAGUCGUGAAGGGCCCUCAUGACUGGGCCUCAUGCCAAACAACUCAUUACAAAAAGAGCUAGGGUCCCAGACCAUGCUGAAUCUUCAUGAGACCUCUCCUCGUCUGUGCAUGGAUGGGUGGCUGACUCUGGAGCCCAGGCUGUUGCUUCCCAGUCUGGUGAUGAUUCCUCCAUAGUCUGGUGAAUGUGUAUCUAUAUGUUUUCCCUUCUCCCCUUCCCAUUGCAAUUAGCUUAUUAUAUCAAUUUGCUUAUUAUAUCAUUUGCUUAUUGUAUCUGCAUUGCCAUUUAUGUGGGAUAAAGGUUGUUUACCCUCAAAGGUAUUGUGUGUGUGCCUUUUCUUUUCUCUUCACGCAUCUCCUGCACAGAAUAGCACAUUACACUAUAUUUGUAUAUUUCACAUUUGACUCCUUUUCUGAAUGAGUGCACAUUAAGGAGGGAGACCUUUAUGUCCAGCACUAUGCUUGGCAAAUGGAAUUUGUAAUGAAGCCCAUUAUUGAAUGGAAUUGGAAGUGAAGAGAUAGUUUACUUGGAAAGGAAAGUAUUUUGAUGCCUAUGACAAGAAAGCAAUGGAUGAUUUAAAGUUUGAUUGUCCAGUUGGCACCAAAAGUUAACAGCACAAAUGUUACAACUUCCUUAAACAGACGUACAUUCUCAUCAGCGCACAUCCACCUGAUCCACUAAAUUGUGAACAUGUGCAGAGUAUUAUAUUUAAGGUAACACUGAUCAGUUAUACCUUCCAAUUUCAAAAGGAAAUCACUCAUUUUACCCUAAUGUGUGGUCAGGAUUAUUGUGGUAAUGGCUGUUUGAUCCUGAGUCAGUCCAUGAUAGCACACCUGAGAGUAUGAUUUAUGGGCUGAGUUUUUACAGUUCAAACUGAGAGUGAGAAAUAGUCUCUUGAUAGCAAUACACUGAAAGCAUAGAUGCUACAACAGCUUCUAAGAUGGAGUGUUUAUGGACCCAGGUGUUUGGACAGUGGGAUAAGUGCAGCUGUAUUUGAGACAUACCUAUAUGAAACAUUUUUUGUUGUUUAUCUGAAAUUCAAAUUUAAUUGGACAUCUGGUGUUUUAUCUGGCAAGUCGACAUAAAAUUGACUAGAAAAAACAUAUCCCAAAUUAGGGGCUGCUUGAUGUGCUAGGAAUAAAUACUGUUUUUAAUACAGAAAAACUUUUUUAGUUACAGCUAUGCAUCUCUCUUAGCUGCUAUCUCUUUAUGAAGUGAGAGUUUCAGAUUCGAUCAUUUUUAUUUUUAGAUUUUGCUCAGCUUCACAAGCUUUGAGCAAAUAAAAUUUUACGAGAAAGACCAAUAUAUAAAACAGAUAAGAGCUGAGUUACUUAUUAAAGUUGAGUAUAGGUCCUUCCCCACCCCAACGUCGAAUAAUGGAGCACGACCUAAAAACUCCUAGAUUUCAUGAUUUCUAAAAUUCCUUCUACUUGUAACAGUCUGUGAGUCCAAAUGAACUCAUUUCAUAGGGAGAAAUAAUCUAGUUUGUGGUUAGUCAUAGCCUGUUCUUUCCUAUUUAUAGUUGAAAAGGCUAGAGAGAGAAGGAAAGAAAAGUAUUAUUACCAAUGAAGGUGGCAUUUAGGAAGGAUAAAAUGGACUUACUAUCUUCAUUUAUUCAACAGACAUUUGUUGAGCAGUCUCUAAAGACAAGGUAAUAUACUAUGUACUUUGAAGAGAGAAUAUUAAUAGCAAUUUUUAGAAUGACCUCUUAAUUUAGUUGGUGAGCUAAAAUUUGUGCACAGGUAAUUGUAUCUGCUAUUUUGUGAGGUUUACUAUGUACUGGGUAUUUUACUGCUUACAACGUUAUAAAAUAUUUGCCUGAACAUUGGUCCCACUCACAGUUCCUGUUCCUUUGCAUUUGUUCUCAUUGAAGCCUUACUUCCUUUCAGAUUUUUUUUCCUAAAACUUACAAGGAAACAAUUCCUCUACAUCUCAUUUUUAUCUCUGAAUCUGUCUUGGUGAUAUAGGACAUUUCUCUUUAUUAGAAGCCCUGUCUUUGUUCAACUUUAGGAUGAUGAAGUCAUAACAAGUUUUUCUCAAAUAUGCAUUACUGAGACUCAAUCUCCUCCAACAGUGUGAUGUGUCCUCAGGUUGGCAGUCCAAGAGGUAAUUUUAAACAUCACUCUUAUUUUCACCCAAUCACAUGCUGAGGCUGUUACCAGGCCUGCCAUUUCUUGCUCUGCAGGAGUCCCCAUAUUUUCUCCUUUCUUCUUCUGCCAUGCCUAAUUUCUCAUCUAAGUUCUGGUUGUUUAACACCUACCUUAUUGCUAUUUUCUUUUAUCCUUCCCUUUAAUAUUUUACAUGACUCAGCAUAGGUUCUCCUUAGGAACCCCUAGACUCAUAGCAAAGCUGUUUGAACCCACUGCUUUGUCUUUGUGUUCCUGCCACUGACAAUUCUGAGGUGCACGUUUGAACAAAUAUCAACAUUUUGAGACAGCUUUAAAAGAUCAGUUAUUUUUCAUUCUCUUUUGGUUUUUAAAAAAGGUUUUUCUGAAGAUGUCAGACAGAUGAUGGCAUAGGAAGCUGAACCACACAUUCCUCCACAGAAACACUGAUAAAAGAAUGAUGUUGAUACAAAAAUACCUUGAAGAAAUUCAGAACCCAACUAAAAAGCAGAAGCACUCGACAGGAGCAUAAACAGAGAGCAGUAACAUUUAUCUGGUUAAGAAGAGCAAUUUCACGUUACCCACAUCAGUUACUUCUGCAAACUGCCUUAGCUAAACACUGAGAAGAUACCUCAGCCCAAGAUUUCUCCUGUGGGGCAGGGGAUUUGUUUGGAGGGUGAGCCUGGCUGUUUGGCCUUCUGGCCUCUCAGAGCACCCUCUAUAAGGCCAGUUUUCAUUUUGCAUCAGAGUAAGCACUGGAUGAUCUGUAGAGCCUGGUUCCCUGAGAGAGUGAGCCCUUUACACCUGAUACUGCUCUUUAAGAUUAGGAAUAGGCACAGAACUGAUAUUUUUCCUCCACAAAGGAGGGAAGGAAGUGAAGGGGGUCUAUCUGCAGCAUCUCAGGUUGCCCUCUAUGGAGCUGGUUUCCAUCUCUUCAUAGCAAAUCCUGAAUGUGACAGAUCUCAGCCUCCUGGGACAAUUAGUAACUAAGAAAAGGGGCUGGCAUCUCUUAAAGCCAGAACUAUUCUGUUUAUUGGGAAAAACCAUAAACGAGGCUUUUCCUUUAGGUGGGAGGGAAGGGAGUGAAGAGACCCUUGCUUUAGUCUUGCAAUGCACUCCCUCAGUGGUCAGUCACCAUGUUGCUUCAAAUUAAGCACUCAAAUUAAGCUCUCGCCCGAUCAAAAUUUGUCCAUAAAGACUGAGAGAAGUAUCUGCUUCUUCAAAUAUUUAGACAACAAUGCAAACCUAUAAGAAAUGUGAAGAAUCAGGAAAAUAUGACAAUCAAAGGAACAAAGUGAAUCUCUAGUAACCAAUCCAAAAGAAAUGGAGAUCUGUGAAUUACAUGAUAAAUAAUUCAAAAAUACUCAUCUUACAGAAGGUCAGUGAGUUACAAGAGAACACAGAUAAACUACUAAAUGAAAUCAGGAAAACAAGUAAUAAACAAAAGAAGAAGUUCAAGAGAAAAGAUAGAAACAAUGCAAAGAACCAAACAGAAAUUCUGCAGCUGAAGACAAUGACUGAACUAAAAAUUCACUAGUGAGAUUCAAAAGCAGACUUGAUCAAGCAGAAGAAAUAAUCAGUGAACAAGACAGGUCAUUUGAAAUUAUCCAGUCAGAGGAGCAAAAAGAAAAAGAGUGAAGAAAGCCAAAGAGACUUAUGGGAUACCAUCAGGUGAACCAAUAUGAGUAUUAAGAGAGUCCUAGAGGGUGAAGAGAGAAAGGGGAAAAAAACCUGUCCAAAGGAAUAAUGGCUGAAAAUCCUGAAUUUUAUUGUAUAUAUGUGUAUACAUAUGUAUAUAAAAAUACACACACAUGGCUGGGCACAAUGGCUCACGCCUGUAAUCCCAGCACCUUGGGAGGCCGAGGUGGGCAGAUCACGAGGUCAGGAGAUCGAGACCAUCCUGGCUAACACGGUGAAACCCCGUCUCUACUAAAAAUACAAAAAAUUAGCCAGGCAUGGUGGCGGGCGCCUGUAGUCCCAGCUACUUGGGAGGCUGAGGCAGGAGAAUGGCAUGAACCCAGGAAGAAGAGCUUGCAGUGAGCCGAGAUUGUGCCACUGCACUCCAGCCUGAGCGACAGAGCGAGACUCUGUGUCAAAAAAAAAAAAUAAAUAAA